AAGAAGUAUACCAUUAAAUGGGGUAACUUAUAAUCAUUUGUUUUACUGGGGCGGUAGCUUUCAUUAAAGUAACGAGAGCAUACAAAAGGCUUUAUAUAAAACUUAACCGGAAAAAAAAGCUUAACUGUAAGAAACACUAUUCUAACAGAUGUCUAUAAUAAAAAAUAGGGCAGGUGGUAAAGACCGAUUAGUAAUAUAAAAUUAUUAAUCAUCAAUGGUUAAAAGGUACACUAGGGAUAACAGGCUUAUUUUGGUAGAGAGUACACAUUAACACCAAAGUUUGGCACCUCGAUGUUGGAUCAUCCCGUCCUAAUGCAGAAGUAAGUAUUAAGGGUUUGGCUGUUCGCCAAUUAAAGGGGUACGUGAUCUGAGUUCAAACCGUCGCAAGGCAGGUUGGUUUCUAUCUACACACAAAAUUAUUAAUCUAUUAAAUUUAGAUAGUACGAAAGGACGCUCUAAAUUAAACCUCUGGUACACUAAUUGUUUUUUUUAUAAAAGCAUCGUUAGAUAGCUACGUUUAUAUGCAAUAAAUAGAAAUAAUAUAUAUAUUACAUUUUAGCAUUAUAAUAUAUCAAUCGUUUAUAAUGUCUACCUUUUCUAAUUUUA
rnacentral:rRNA from 1 species